UCAGCUGAUUGCAUUUAUGAACGAGAAAUGGCAUGGACGGAAAAUCUCCGUCUCCUCCCCCCUAUAACAGCGGGUUUUGUUGAGUGUUGGGCGAGUGAAGGCAACUCCAUCCCUCAAAAAGUUCAGAAGAGGGGUUACAGCAAUUUUAUCGAGGGGUAUAUCCACGAAAUCAAAGUCAGGAGGAGAGAGGACGGCUGUACCGUGAAGGCUAGGGCAUUCCCAUCAAUGCGAAAGAACAAGUCACCAUACGCAGUCCAGGUUGACCUUACUACUGGAAGUCAAUUGAAAGAUGUCAUCUGCAGCUGCAAGGCUGGUCUUGGGCGAUGCGCACAUGUUAUUGGACUCCUGUACACCUUAGCCCACUUCCAAAAAUUAGGCCUUAAAUCAGUCCCACCAAUCCGAAGCAAAACCUCUCUGCCACAAACGUGGCACAUCCCACAGCGGUCUUUGGGGUUGACUCCCAAACCCAUAAAUUUGGUCACAGUCAACAAAAUUAAGCCACACCAAAAUGACCCUGCCACCACCUCAAAGGUUCAAGGAAUAGCCACAAAUUUUUAUUGCCCAGUCCCACUCCCCCUUCCAAGUAAACAAUUUGCUAAUAGGUUAAAAGAAAACUUACAAAUGUCAGGCAGUACAUGCCAGCUAGCCACAUUAAUGACGACAGCA